rnacentral:lncRNA from 1 species
UUAGACACAAUGCUUUGUUACAAUUAACUACUGUUGGAUAGUAUAUACUUUCCUAUAACAAAACAGACAAACACAUAGUCAACAAAAGUAUAAAAACAAUUCAAAAGGAAUACAUAAAUUCUUGAAAAAAUCACAGCGUUUUUCUGAAUUACAUAAUUCAGAAUUCUCAUUUUUUUCUCUGCCAGGUCCCUUGUCAGCAACUGUUGGAACCUCCUCAGUACUUGAUUUUUUGGGUGCAACCAACUCCUUACCUGAUUUCAGAGGCUUAGGAAAAGGAAUGAAAUAGGAUAAGUCACAGGACACCUGCCUCUUUAAAGCUCUACCUCAUCUCUGUAGCUCAUUAUGCCUUAUCCUUCCCUAUCUACUUCUUCUUGGGCUGCCUUUGUCUCCCUAAUUCAGUCUCUCUGUUUAGGGAAGAGAGGUGGCAGCCCAAAAAUUGUGCUUGACUUUAACGUAAUUUCAUAUAUUCACCAGACAUGGCAAAGAUAGCACCCUUACUCUAAUAAGAUCAUAAAGCACACACUUUAGAUUUCCGCUGACAUGACAGAGACCGUAAGUCUGACAAUCCAGAACCAAGGAGAAAGUUUUUUGUUGUUGUUCUUUUCCCCUGACUUUUUUCCUCCCAGAGAAUUUUCUUUUGGUACUUUUCUCAGUUAACUGAAAUCUUAAUAUGAGACAGGACGUUGCAGGAGUGGAACAGGAUAGAAUGAGAAGAUUGUGCUGGAGGGAGAUCAGAGGGCAUGGCUAUGGUGGAGGGUAGAUGCACCAUUUUUAUUCUUCCUCCAACACCUUGUUUUAGGGGUUGUCUUACAUACAGGGGGGGUAGAUAGAGAUGAAACAGUCAUGAGAAUUAAACAUUUGAACCUGUGCAUUUGUCACUAUCAAUCCAAUAUUUCAUAGAGAAAGUGAAAUUUUAGAAGUAAUAUAACAAGUACUAAGAGAUCAAUUUAUUACUAAUACACCAAUUUAAUUUAAUGAAUGCCCAUAUAAUGUGCUUAGGUAUAUUGCCAACUGGAAGGAAAUUGCUACAAGCAACUCUUCAGAUAACUUCAAAAGUUACACAAUUGAGCAACCAUGGAAAAAAAGAUUUGACUAUGCAGAUAUAUCAGAGGAGAAAAUGGGAACACCAGAAGAUAAUUUAGAUGGAAAGAUUUAUAAAAAGUCAAAUUCUACUAGACUAACACCUGAUUCUACUUAUGGAAUAUAAAAAUGAAGUACUCUGCUUUUCUGAGCUAUAGUCCUUCAAGCCCGGAUUCUAUUGGUUAUAGUCAAGAGAGAGUUUAUUCUGUCCGGGAUGACUUGCAUUUUUUUGGCACAGAAUCUAUAUAGCUCAAUUAAGUAAGGAAGCCUAAAGAGAAGUAGGACAUCAGACUGAAUCCAAUGGUCAUGAAAAAUGUAGAAAUUACUCCUUGUAUUCUAACAAUCCCAUUUAAAUAAAUACUUUUAGGUGCAAAA